UGGCUCAGUUGGUAAAGCAUGUGACUCUUGAUCUCAAGGAUGUGAGUUCAAGUCCCAC
rnacentral:tRNA from 1 species